AGAGAUCAUGGCUCAGAAUCAACGCUGGCGGCGUGCCUAACACAUGCAAGUCGAACGCGGUUACUCCGCAAGGAGUAACUGAGUGGCGAACGGGUGAGUAACACGUGGGUGAUCUACCUCUGAGUGGGGGAUAACGUUCCGAAAGGAACGCUAAUACCGCAUGACGUUCUGGGUUUGAAGGCCUGGAAACCAAAGUCGGGGACCGCAAGGCCUGACGCUUGGAGAGGAGCCCGCGCCUGAUUAGCUAGUUGGUGAGGUAAUGGCUCACCAAGGCGACGAUCAGUAGCCGGCCUGAGAGGGCGGACGGCCACACUGGGACUGAGACACGGCCCAGACUCCUACGGGAGGCAGCAGUGGGGAAUUGUUCGCAAUGGGCGCAAGCCUGACGACGCAACGCCGCGUGGAGGAUGAAGGUCUUCGGAUUGUAAACUCCUGUUGAUCGGGAAGAAUAGCCCCCGGAUGAAUACUCCGGGGGAAUGACGGUACCGAUUGAGGAAGCCACGGCUAACUCUGUGCCAGCAGCCGCGGUAAUACAGAGGUGGCAAGCGUUGUUCGGAAUUACUGGGCGUAAAGGGCGCGUAGGCGGCCUUGUUAGUCAGACGUGAAAUCCCCAAGCUUAACUUGGGAACUGCGUCUGAUACUGCAAGGCUUGAGUUCGGGAGAGGGAUGUGGAAUUCCAGGUGUAGCGGUGAAAUUGCGUACAUAUCUGGAGGAACACCGGGUGGCGAAGCGGCAUCCUGGACCGAAACUGACACUGAAGCGCGAAAGCUAGGGGAGCAAACGGGAUUAGAUACCCCGGUA
rnacentral:rRNA from 1 species